UAAAUUGCCGUGGUAUUUUGACCAUGCUAAGGUAGCAUAAUCAUUUGUUUCUUAAUUGGGUCCUGGAAUGAAGGGUUGUACGAAAGCUUUUCUUUAUUAAUAGACUGUUAUAAUUUAAUUUUUAGGUGAGGAAACCUUAAUUAGUAAAUAGGACAAGAAGACCCUAUCGAGCUUAUUAUUAUGUAUAUAUGUGUGUGUGUGAAUUAGUUGGGGCAACUUUGGAAAUAACUUCCAUAAAAGAAUUUUUUAUAAUUGAAAAGUUACCGUAGGGAUAACAGCAUUAUUUUUUUUUAGAGUUCUUAUCGAAAGAAAAGUUUGUGACCUCGAUGUUGGAUUAAGAUUGCUUUUAGGUGCAGAAAUUUAUAGAGUUGGUCUGUUCGACCAAUAAAAUCUUAC
rnacentral:rRNA from 1 species